rnacentral:rRNA from 1 species
GGCAGGCCUAACACAUGCAAGUCGAGCGGUAACAGAAAGAAAGCUUGCUUUCUUUGCUGACGAGCGGCGGACGGGUGAGUAAUGCCUGGGAAUAUGCCUUAGUGUGGGGGAUAACUAUUGGAAACGAUAGCUAAUACCGCAUAACGUCCUUGUUCAUUACGAGCGGGACCAAAGAGGGGGACCUUCGGGCCUCUCGCGCUAAGAUUAGCCCAGGUGGGAUUAGCUAGUUGGUGAGGUAAAGGCUCACCAAGGCAACGAUCCCUAGCUGGUCUGAGAGGAUGAUCAGCCACACUGGAACUGAGACACGGUCCAGACUCCUACGGGAGGCAGCAGUGGGGAAUAUUGCACAAUGGGGGAAACCCUGAUGCAGCCAUGCCGCGUGUAUGAAGAAGGCCUUCGGGUUGUAAAGUACUUUCAGUCGUGAGGAAGGGUGUGUAGUUAAUAGCUGCAUGCCUUGACGUUAGCGACAGAAGAAGCACCGGCUAACUCCGUG